GUUAUAAUGCUUUAACUCAUAAAGGUUAUUCAUAUACUUGCCUCUGAGUAAACUAAGUCCCUCAGGGUUAGAAGCAGAGUCUUAUUUAAUAACCAUAGCUCUACUUUCUAGAACAGUCUUAGAUCAAGACUAUAUGGACCGUUACUGGAAUAUGUAAAAUAAGUUAAUAUCAGCUUAAUUCUGAUUAUUAUUGUUCUGCAGUGAUUUUCACCACAAAUGAGUAUUUGCACUGCUUUGCAAUACUUUGCAUGUACUAGAUUCUUAAUUCAUUAUU
rnacentral:lncRNA from 1 species